rnacentral:rRNA from 1 species
AUGUGUUGUCCUGUGCUAGAUGUUGCUUUUGAAUCGUACCAAAUUGGACAGCAUCCUACCCGAGCAGUACCCAAAGCAAAUACCGAUGACUUCGUAUACCGAAACCUACCUACAAGGCACCAUGUCCUAAGAAAGGUUGCGGACUGUUGCCACUGUGGGGCGUUGCGGUUUCCAUUCGAGGGGCCAGCAUUUUGUUGCAGAAAAGGAAAAGUCGAUUUGUUUACUCCAGAUGUUCCAGAAGAGUUGAAACGGUUGUUUACAAGUUAA